rnacentral:lncRNA from 1 species
UUUUUCAAGACAGGGUUUCUCUGUAUAGCCCUGGCUAUCCUGGAACUCACUUUGUAGACCUCAAACUCAGAAAUCCACCUGCCUCUGUUUCCCGAGUCCUGAGAUUAAAGGCAUGCGCCACCACACCCAGCUGGUAAACUUUUUCUUAUAUUAACACUAAUGAAAUAAUGAAGGUGAACUUGAGGUACAAUCUUAUCUGUGGCUGUGUGGUCCACAGGUUUGUUUUUGGUUUUAUGUUUUUAAUGUUGCCUUCUAGGGUAUCAGCAGCAUGUUGAAUAAAUAAAACAUGGCUACAUACAAGCACUGGCUUUAAAUGGCAAUGAGAAGAAUUCUUAUUGCUGUUCAGAAAUUAACAAAAAAGGUUUGAAUAAGCUUGAGCACACAUAGGUGAGGAAAAUCUGACAUUUCCUUCCCAUAUGCCUUGUCUGUUUCACAGGGAAUACAAAUUAAAAAUCAUUCCACAGAUUCAGGCUAAGGUUAAUAAAAUUCUAACUACAAAGUUAUGUACGUAAGAUACCAGUUAUUAUUACUGUGACCACAUUUAAACUACAUUGGAUGGAAUAAUUUUCAAAUUAAGAAAUAUGUCCUGGUAGAAAAGUCUAUAGACAGUAACAUUAUUGUGAGAUUCGUUUGGCACAAACUGACACUGAAUCUCAAGAUGUGGUUUUGUUAAGUCCCCUGUGGAGUUGGGAACUUUCCUGGCUCCCACUGUGUUUCAUGGGUGUGACUUUGAAGAAUAUUGCUUACUGGGUGGAUGAAGGGCACCAUGCUCAUUUUUGCCUUUACCACUGUAGUUGAAGGGAGAGUUGCAAAUGACACAUGACAUGGCUGCCCUCCCAAGUGUUAAAUCUCCUCCCAAGUACAGACAGGACAGUAUUAUCUCUUAAGUCUAAGCAGUAAGGCAUACUCAUUUCUGUGCAGCUCUUUAAGGCAUAAAUUCAUAGUUAAGAUAAUGUACCUAAGCUGAGAUGGUGGGAAGAAGCUCACAGUAUGGCUAAGCAUUGGGGUAAUUUUUCAGGGAGAUCUGAGGAAGGGGAACUGUUUUUAGAACAUGAAAACUGUCUUAAGUGGGAAAUGUUAGAAAAUAAUUGUUCAGUAAAGGAAAACCAUAUAAUGAGAUAUAGUUGAGAUUAGUGUCAUCAUUUGAAUGACCCUCUGCUGCCAUUUGGAAGUGAUUAAACAACCCUUUACUAGAAUUGAUAUUACUUUAGAAAGGAUGAAGUAGUUACUAGACAAAGCUAUUCCUUAUCUAAAAUGUGUUAUGCACACAACUUUGAGGUUUCUCUUUGAUUUGUUAAUAAUGUCUUGGCUUCUAAGCAUUCUAACUUAAAGACAGUUUACAAGUUAUAAUAUGAUAUAUUUUUCUAGCCUUGUAAUUUAGUAAUGUGCUAUUUAUGAUGUGUUGUUUCUGUAUUUUUGUCAACUGGUGUUCCCCGGUUUAAAACCUCUCAGAAGAAUCAAACUUUCGAGGUGACAGGUACAUUUACUAUUGCAGGGUAGAAGAAUCUUUUCUUACUUUUAAAUCAAUGUUAAAAUAAGCUCACUAUAGUAGAAUCACAUAUAUAUAUAUAUAUAUACAUAUAUAUAUAUAUGGCAAAAUAGGAACAUGGAAAAUACUGGUCCUGAGUUGUGAAUUAUGCACAGCUUUUAAAGAUGUGUUCAUACACUGCCUAUUCAUUUCUUAGGGUGUCACAAAAUCACAACAUUUAUCAAAGACCAGGAAUGAUUGAUUAUUCCAGCAAAAGCUAAUUUGUUCUAUAUAGCAGUGGAUAUGGCAAAUAUUUUAAAGGCCACAAUAUGACCAAUUUUAACUGUACAGAACAUGUACAAUUUUGUUAACAUGUAGGAAGCCAAAAUGCAGAGGCAGAAAUAAAGUCACAUAAGGGAGUCUUUCUUUUAUUGUGUUCUAAAAUGUAGGGUAACACAUUGAGGAUAUGGUUUGGGUAUUGGUUUUUGUUUUUCUGAGCUUUUUUAUUUUUAGAAAUAAACUCAAAAGGUAUUUGUUGAAAUAUACUUGAAGAUGCCUAGGUUUGAAAGUUUUGAACAGAUAGAAAUAAUUAAUAGUUUUCCUUCCUUCCUUUGUUCAUUCAUUCAUCCAAAGGCAAGUGUACUUGUUGCCCUAAUGUGCUAUACUCUGGCUAUAUCUUUGCUUCGAUGCCUGAUGAAUCCUAAAUAUUUUUUUCAUUGCCUAACAAGUGGCAAUAUGGCAAUCUUUAAUAAAUGUGAUCAACAUUCAUCAGUUAUAUAAGGCCUGGGAAAAUAAAACUUU